CCCUUAGAUGUUCUGGGCAGCACGCGCGCUACAAUGGUCUUCGCAAACGGAUGCAUUCUCGAAGGAGAAUGCCAAUCUUGGAAUCUAUGCCUUGGUCGGGACAGUUGCUUGCAAUUUUUCGACUCGAACCAGGAAUUCCUUGUAAUCGUGAUUCAUCACAUCACGAUGAAUACGUCCCUGCCCUUUGUACUCACCGCCCGUCGCUCCUACCGAUCGAAGAGUUAGGUGAAUUGUUUUGAUCGAUAAGAUUUGACUAUGGUCAACUCUCGUUGUGAAAUUCUGUGAAUCUGACUGUUUAGAGGAAGGAAAAGUCGUAACA
rnacentral:rRNA from 1 species